AACGUAGGAGACAAACGUUAUCCGGAGUUACUGGGCGUAAAGGGCGUGUAGGCGGUUUGUUAAGUCUGGCGUGAAAGCUCUCGGCUAAACCGGGAGAGGUCGUUGGAUACUGGCAGACUAGAGGACGGUAGAGGCGUGUGGAAUUCCGGGUGUAGUGGUGAAAUGCGUAGAGAUCCGGAGGAACACCAGUGGCGAAGGCGACACGCUGGGCCGUACCUGACGCUGAGGCGCGAAAGCGUGGGGAGCAAACAGG
rnacentral:rRNA from 1 species